rnacentral:lncRNA from 1 species
UGCAGAGGGGGGGUUUUCGUCUGGUUGCACGUGUGUUUUCCUCCCCCAUUUUUUGCAAAAUGGGCACAAACCGAGGAAGAACGUGGCUGGUGCCAGGCCCGGGCCAGUGGCUGCUGAGGUCAGUGGCAGUCUCUGUCCCUGUCCCCGGGUGGCUUGGAGCCCGGCCUAAAAAUACCGAGGGAUGCAGCAAAACAAGUAAUUUCGUAUCAAAGUGCUAUCAUGUGCUCACAGAAAUAGAAGGAAAAUAGAGACGUUUCCUCCCCCACCCCUUGCAAUCCUUUGGAAUUACAGUGAUCGGAGCUGUCGCUUGGAAAGCCUGACUUCACCAGGCACUUGGGAGCUCUUGGAUCCAGAUGCCAUGGAGGGCCCUGCCUGCAGGCUUGAGCCCCUUGAGGGUCGGGAAUCUCCAGCAGGGUUUAUCUCCUGGUGGGAUUCACUGCAGAAGGGAAGGCAAGGCCUAAGACUACACUGGCUAUCCAGGCUCCCUCUGGUUGGUAGGAAAGGACAAGUCCCCUCUUCCCAGUAUCUCCCAAGCCCUCAAAUCAGCAGAUUCUGAGCCAGUUUCUGUAAGAGAAAGGAAGUUCUUGUCUCAGGUCUCACAGCAGGGAUCAUGUUCAGCAAUGUCCCCUCUGCAUGUGUCACUACUCCGCAGGUCAGGAGCUGCCUCCGAGUCCCUGCUCCCCGGAGGGACCUCGCAGAAGGGAAGGAUGAUGGCAGGGUCUGAGCCUGGGAAAGGAGCUGGAGGUGGGGAAAGGAAGGAGAGACUGACGCGGAGGGACAGACUCCUCUGCCGCCGGAGUUGUGUUCAAACAAGAGUGUGAUCUGCUGCAGGGUGAGCUGGAGCUGGAGGAUCAGGGUCCAGCCUGCCUUCCAAAAUAAGCACACGCUGAUGGGUGUUCCAGCUGCUGGGGCAGGGCUGGGGCUGACAGUGCAUGGAUAGACCCUGUCCAGCUCCAUCCCGCAGCCCUGGGGACGGGAGGCAGCGGCCCAGCAUCAGAGGCAUGUUUGCAAGAGCACGUUU